CCUACGGGAGGCAGCAGUGAGGAAUAUUGGUCAAUGGGCGCGAGCCUGAACCAGCCAAGUAGCGUGAAGGAUGACUGCCCUACGGGUUGUAAACUUCUUUUAUAAAGGAAUAAAGUGAGGCACGUGAGCCUUUUUGAAUGUACUUUAUGAAUAAGGAUCGGCUAACUCCGUGCCAGCAGCCGCGGUAAUACGGAGGAUCCGAGCGGUAUCCGGAUUUAUUGGGUUUAACGGGAGCGUAGAUGGGUUGUUAAGUCAGUUGUGAAAGUAUGUGGCUCAACCGUAAAAUUGCAAUUGAUACUGGCAGUCUUGAGUACAGGUGAGGACAGCGGAAUUCGUGGUGUAGCGGUGAAAUGCUUAGAUAUCACGAAGAACUCCAAUUGCGAAGGCAGCUUACUAAACUGCCACUGACAUUGAGGCUCGAAAGUGUGGGUAGCAAACAGGAUUAGAUACCCGAGUAGUC
rnacentral:rRNA from 1 species